rnacentral:lncRNA from 1 species
CUUCUCUCUCCUGCUGCCUUGUGAAGAAGGUGCCUGCCUCCUCUCACCUUCCUCCAUAAUCAUAAGUUUCCUGAGGCCACCCCAGCCAUAUGGAACUACCUGCUUCCAUAAUGCUGGGUACCUGUCCAAUGGCUGAUUCCAGCUCUUCUGCCAGAGAGGACUGGAACCUGGUUCAAGCUGAACAAUUCUGUAUGGAGGGGAUGCAGAAUGCCAGCAGAGGACUUUCUGCCUAACAGGUCCAGCAUAGAUACCUGCGUCACCUGCGG